rnacentral:lncRNA from 1 species
UGCAGAGUCCUGCAGAGCUGAGCUCUCUGCACACGCCUCCCUCCUUCCUCCUUUCUUGGUGCCUGUGCAGCUCCAUACGUUAACCCUGGCGAGUGCAAGCUUGGGGGUCCUCACCCAGGUGGUUCUCACCACCAGCCUGUGGCUUGGGCUCCAUCUGCGAAAAUCAAACCUAACAGAGAGGGCUGAGAUGCAGCAGCAACUCAGGGAGCGAACUGACAGGUUUCCGUUUCCUCCAGAUCAUUGCUAUCUUCUCUAAAAUCUGAUUUUCUGCCUCCCAAAUCCUGUUUUCAAAUUUUUCAAAUGACUGCUUGUCCAGAAAGAUGAUGACCGAAACUAUGAACUAGGAGCCCCGUUUUAAUGGGUAUGGCUCCAAAUGACAUCCCACAAAAGAAAAGAGAAAUAAAAUAAAAGGAGGUAUUUCGAUCAAACCUGGUCAAAAUAUACCAAUCCAUACACCACUACCACCACCCCUUUCUACAUGGAGCAUUAUUUUCCUGGUCUCAGCCACGACAUAUUAGUAUCACUGCCUUUAACAACUGGGUUUGAUUUUCUUACAGUGCAGCUGACUGACAAGAAAGAGGUGAGGAGUGAACGCUGCAAUUUGAGAACCUCUUUGGUCAGCUCUUGGAAAAGAACGAACUCUCUCCUGUUGAAACGAGCUCAAGGUUUUUCAAGAAGCCAGCAUGAGCAACUUGGAUUCCGAAACCGAGGCAGAAGUUGGAGCGUCAGAGAGGACCAGAGGGGGUCUAUCAUCUCCUAUGGAUUUAACUGAAAUGGGACCAGUACAGCAGCCAGCGAGCGUGCGGGAGAGGGCGUGAGACUUUGCAGCUCACCAGAUACCCACGUUGAAGGGGAGGUUGCAAGUCCUUUUCUUUCUCUCAUCAGGCAAGUGGAGACGGCUCCAGCCAAGGAGUCUUCUUUCUGUUUACGGAGUCGCGUGGUGGUGGGGAAGGCUGAACUCUUGGAUGUGAAAUUGUUCUCUUCUGACAUGUAGGAAAGAGACUCUCUUCUGAGAGCCCACAAAUAUUUGUCAGUUAUUUUUCUCUUGGAGAAAUGUUUUUCUCAAAUCUGUGAUACUAAAGACCGUCGUGGGCAUUUCAGCUUCUGUGGCCUGUGAAAGUUGACUGCAUCCCAGGGCUGCUCCAAAGGGGUUAAUUGCAUCUAAGCAUUGGAAAGUGAUUAUCUAAUUAAACUUUGAAAUGGAA